rnacentral:tRNA from 1 species
GCCCCCAACCUAGCUCAGUUGGGAGAGCGCCAGACUGAAGAUCUGGAGGUCCUCAGUUCGAUCCUGGGUCUGGGCA